rnacentral:rRNA from 1 species
CGACAAGCGGAGGAGCAUGUGGUUUAAUUCGAUGAUACGCGAGGAACCUUACCUGGGCUCGAACGUAAGAUGACUGUAGGUGAAAGCUUACAUCUCUUCGGAGCAUUUUACGAGGUGCUGCAUGGUUGUCGUCAGCUCGUGCCGUGAGGUGUCGGGUUAAGUCCCAUAACGAGCGCAACCCCUACCUUUAGUUGCCAUCAGGUAAUGCUGGGGACUCUAAAGGAACUGCCUACGCAAGUAGUGAGGAAGGCGGGGAUGACGUCAAAUCAGCACGGCCCUUACGUCCAGGGCUACACACGUGCUACAAUGGCCGAUACAGAGGGCAGCUACCUGGUGACAGGAUGCAAAUCUCCAAAGUCGGUCUCAGUUCGGAUCGGAGUCUGCAACCCGACUCCGUGAAGUUGGAUUCGCUAGUAAUCGUGGAUCAGCAUGCCACGGUGAAUACGUUCCCGGGCCUU